rnacentral:misc_RNA from 1 species
CUAAAUAUACGUUUUUUUAAACGUGGUGGCUUGCAUCAAGUCCGUGCGGUCGACACCGUGAUGGCCAAUGUAAGAUCUUGUAUUCAGUCUAUACGGUCGACCCCGUGUUGGCAGAUGCAAGAAAUCUUGCGGAGAGUCCGGGCGGUCGUCCCCGUGAUGGCAAGAUGCAAGAAAUUACCAACACCUUGUGAAUGUUUCCACAAAUUUUGGCAGUCUCUCUUAUUUGAUGUGAUGGUUGUGUGAAGUUUCGAUGGAACACGUCUAUCUAGAACAUUCUAUAGGAGAGCGUGUGUGAGUUUCUCACCGGAACUCACUGCACCAUGGCUGCCAACAGUUGAAAAACCCCUUUCAUUUUUAUUUUUUCUGAAACCAAAAUAUGAGAAACAAUGAGAAA